ACUCCUUCCUCUGCCUCUUCAUAUGGAAUCCCUAAGGUUUGCAAGAGGAGAAUUAUUUUACAGGUGGAAAGGAAGGCUGAGUGACUGGAUAAGCCAUCAGGAUAAGAGAUUCCCCUCCAAUGGGAGGAAAGAGGGGUUACCUAGCCUGUGUCCUGCACUUUGGCCUUAAUGGUUGUGGGUUCAGGGUGGUCCACUCAGAGUAAAGCUUGGGACUUUAAUUCAAUACCUGUGGAAAGUCUCUCCCUCCUUCUGGAUGUGAAUGAGGAAGCAGACAGCUCUGGUCUCUGCUGGUUAGCCUUCUCACACCCACAAGCCUAGGAAUGUGCUUGAUACAGAAAAAGGUGGUGCUUAGACAAUGUCAGAGACGGAGGCAGAGCCCUGAUUAAACUAAACCUAAACCUCAUUAUCAAUAAUAUAUUUUUUAUUACAUGAACAAAUAACUAUCCUUUUACGGCUUAAGCCAAGCUUGUCCAAGCCAUGGCUCACAUGCAGUCCAGGAUGGCUUUGAAUUCGACCCAACACAAAUUCGUAAACUUUCUUAAAACAUUAUGAAUCUUUUUGCGAUUGUUUUUUUUUAGUUUAUCAGCUAUCUUUAGAGUGAGUGUAUUUUAUGUGUGGCACAAGACAAUUCUCCCUCCACUGUGGCCCAGGGAAGCCAAAGGUUGGACUUCGUUGGCUUAAGCCAAAACAAAGUAUUUUUGUUUCUUACAACUGAAAUAAUCCUAAUUUUAGGCAGACCUAUUAAAGUGCUUGAGAUACUUCAAUGUAAGCAUCUAUAAGCCAUUUGCAUUAAAAACUGAAUGUAAACAUAUAGCCUUCAGUUAAUUUUAUGAUUUUUACCUGAUUAUUUUAAUGUAGUGAAUACACACUAACAAUUUGUUUAGAGUUUGAAGUAAUAUUCAUAAAUUUUAUCCAAUAAAUUUUAGGUCAUGAACUAAAAAAAAUUGUAAUAAAUUAGACAUUUAUACAUUACCCAAGAAAAACUGCAAGUGCACAGGUUUUAACAUUUUUCUGCUUGCCAAAGAUAAAAUCAUUUUCUUUAUGAUUUAACCAUUUUUGUCCUAGUGGUUACAUGCUAUUUUAGUUCUUCAUAGGCACUGAUUCAUGACUUUGUUUAAAUACUUUAUGUAUGUAAAGUUAGAUUUAGAAAGUCCUAGUCCUAUCCACUGUUUUUCUUGUUUGUUUCUUUUUGGAUACAGCCUUUUGGGAGAACAGCAACUAAACAGGGCAAUAAUAAUACUUUCAUAGACUCCAGAAUGGUAUUUCUAAGUUGUUAUUAAAAUCAGCCUUUCAUUAUUCAUUAAGCUUUUAGAAAAUGUUUCGUUCUUCCAAGAUUGUGUAAUGUAUAAUUAUUUGAAUUAUAAGGGCACUGUGCUUAAAUCUGACAUAUUUUGGCAACAUAUUUUGAUUGGUAAGUAUUUAGUUAGCAAAUGCAACUCAUUCUUAAGCCAAAGAACAUGUAACUAAAAGUCUCAGUUACAAAAACCUAAGACACCUGUGUGUAUGGUUUCACCAAAGGAAAGGUGGCAGUUUUACAAGACACUUAUGAUUCCAAUGCCAAUUUCAAAUUAUGCCCAAACUAAACGCUAAAUGUAGACUUCUCAUGUAGAAGCAUAGGGCAGACUGUUGACCCAAGAUUCAAUGAAACAGGAACUACAGAAGACUGAAAUAACUGGUGAGGGACAUUCAGUUGUGGCUAUUUGUUUAGAAACUGUUGAUGCUGCUUUAAUAUUCUAUUUUCUAACACAUAUAUGAAGAAGUUCUUCUUUUUAAGCCAUAUUUAAUUCUGAAUUUUGUGGACACUGCUUUUCUAAAAUAAAACAUUUUAAAACAGCAUAUGAUUCUCAUUGAUCACUCCAGAAUUCAGAAACUCCUAAUGAGUGCCCUUAUUUUCAUGGCAAAUAUAGUUAUUUUCACAGGCUCAAUAAGAAUGUCUCCUCUUUUAUUACCAGAAUGUCAUUGAAUAAUUCUAUUUAGUAACCAAGGCUAUCCCUGCAGUAUCAUAUUUAAAAAUAAUUUUCAUUUAAUCAGGAAUAACAAACAACUGUUAAGGAAUAAGGAGCGACUGUAUGUGGAAUAAAUGCCUACACACUCCUCCCAAGAAAACCGGCCUAAGACCUAGCUGAUAGGGUCCCAGAUGUACAGAUGAUGAGAAAGGUCACUUUCUGGCAAGACAGGAAUCUUAGUAAAUUUUGGGAGCCUCAACCAGACAGAUAAUCACUCAAUUAUAUACAUAGGUACUAAAGAUACAAAUCAGGUGGAGAGAGUUUCUUCAUUUUGUUUUUCUAGCCUCAAUAAACCACUUUUUAAAGUCAAAUCCCAUCUUUUUUAUGAAAUUUUCAGAAGAAAAGUUAAUUUUAUCACCUUGAUCAGUAGUUGCUCAACAGAUCAUGGUUCUAGAUUUGCAAACUCAAGGAAGCCUAUAUGGUUAAUGAACACCCUCACUGCAGGUUUUUUGUUUGUUUUUGAAUGAAGCAUUACCUUUGAAAAUUAUUUAUGAUCACAGGAAAGAAACUCUAAAGGAAAAACUGUAAAAUCCUUUAAAAUAGGCAAAAAAGAUCUUGGGUGUUUGCCCAUUGGAAUGAUGCGCUUAAGUUAUAGAAAACUGGUAAUAAUGCAAGUGAUUCUUGUUCAUGGCAUUACAAAUAAAUUUUGUCUGCUAAAGAAUAUAUACCUCAGUAAGUUAAAUGCCUGUACCUCCAAUUCUCAUUUGAACCAUCUUUAUUUAGCAUGCAAACAUAAACAAAGAAUCUUUGGAAUCCAUAAAUGUCUCCUUAUUCUAGAUUAAUUUCGGUGCUGAACUGAUUAAGUAAACUUUGUAAACAGAGUAGACAUUGCUUAAAAUAAUUCUGGGUUUUGACAAGUUAGAGGUAACUAAAAUGUUCACAAAUAGGCGUUAGUUAAGUAACAGCAUUAUCCAUUGCAAAGAUGCUGCACCAUUACAAAGAUGCUGCAGCCAUUAAAAGAGAUAUAAAACGAGCCUAAUUAGGCUAUAACCCCAUCUCUGUUAAGAACAAUGCAUACUCAGAUGCAUACGGAUGCACAGAAAAGUGUCUCUAAGGACAUAAAUCAGUACGUCACAAUUACUCUUUAUGGAUUUAUAAUUUUAACUUUCUUUGCAGGGUAUGCGUCCGUGGGUGGGGGGAGUUUUUUGGUUCAUUGAUUAUUGUUACUGCUGAUGGUGUUUGCCUUCCUUUUCUUUCUAAUUUUUGGGAAAGCAAUUUUAUUAAUAGUAAUCAAACAUAUUUGCAGGAGGAACCACUAGAUUGAAUUCAAAACAUAAAUUCCAUCUUUCAAAUGAGAAUACAUUCACUAAUAAAAUGGAGGAAAAUUCCCCUAGAUUCCUGGCUUGAUCCGACUCAUCCUUCAGGUAUUAAUUUACAUAUUUACUUUCUUAAGCCCUCCCUCAGCUCUGCCCCCACUGCCAUACCUGACCUAGGCAAGGUUAAGUCCCUUUCAUACAGCCCUAUACCAACCACCUAAAACUUUUCAUAGUUGUAAUUUGCAUGAAUAUCAGAUUAAUGCUUCUUCCUCCCACUAGAUCUAAUUCCUCUAUGUAUCUUAUUCACUAUUGUGUCCCAGGUGCGCAAUAUAUAUGCAGGUUGCGUCCUAAGAGAGAUUCAAAAUAUAUGUAUAGCUCUCCUGCCAGGAACAUUAAAUGACUCUUAAAAAUGGCAGAAUAAAAAGUAUUUCAUAUCUUAUCAAAGAUAAACAACCUGAAUACAAUUAACUUAAGUCUGUUUAUAAGUCUGAUUUUAGGAGAGACGGAUAAUACUUGUCUUUCAUUCACAGAAACAGAUUUUUAGCAUAUACAAUAUUUUAAAGGAUAUAAUUUGGCCUAUGAUGUGUCUGCAUGAAACAAAUCAUUGUAAUAGAAUUUGAUUGUACCAUAUAAUGUAAUAUUAGAACAAAGGAGUCACAUUGUCCGAAUAUACAUUAUGUGCAGAGCAUUCAAGUGCAUUCACCUAUAAUUCAAUAAGCCCAAAAUCAUGAAAAUAUUGCACUUGAUAUUUGCAACAUUGAUUAUAAAAUCUGAAUAAGCACCAAAGAGUACUUCAAAGUCUUGAAAUGUCAAUAUUUGUAGGCUAUGCAAAUAUGUUUAAAAUAAAUUACAGCAUAUAUUCUAUUUGGGGAGCUACCCAGAAGCCAAACAAAAGUACACCAGAAUCCUGUUAUAGUACAGUACCAUCACACAGGAGAAGCAAGCAUCAACCUAUCUUAUAAAAUGUUCUUCCAGUCACUAUAAUAGAAAUUCACAUUGUCCAUGAUGAAUUUCUAUUAUAUUAAUGUUAUUACUGGAUAUUAUAACUAUAUAUUAUUCUGCAUAUUUUAAUAUUAAUUGUUAUGGUUUGAAUUUUAGGAAGGGCAUAAAUGCCCCACUGUCUCAGCUUCCCUUUCUAGGUAAUGCAGGUUAAAGAGUAAAUCUGUGUCUUGGCAUCCUUGAUUUUGGCACUAUGAAUUCACUGAAGAAAAUGAGAAAACUCCAAUACUCAUGAAAAUUCACUUCUCUAUCUCUAAAAAUAAACAUACCCCUAGCUCCAGAUAAGUCAGUGAAGAAAUUUCUCAGGGUACAGACUUCGGGGAAAAGCAGACAGCAGGAGACAGUACUAAGUAUUUAUUUGAUCAAUCAAUUUGAGAUAGAAAAUACUUACUAGUCAUCCUCGAGACAUUUGCAAUUUAGAUGAGAAUUAUAUAGCUCUAAAGACAUAAAAAGGGAAAAGAGACUCAAUUUUACAAAUCAGUAAAUAUAUUACUGACAAAUUAAUUUGUCUGAAAUGAUUAUGUCGUUUCUAGCAUAGCAUUCAUCUACAUACCGUCCUUUGUUAUCAUGAAGGACUAAAUAUAUGAUUAUUGUGACUUUAAUCCUCAUGACUUUAAUCCUCCAGAGACAGCCCAAAGCAAAUGAAGAACUGGACACUCCUACACCGUCACACAAACCUUUCAAAAGGAGAAGGUAAAAGGCUUUCUUUUUCUGAAAAAGGCUAGUGAAUCAUGAAGGGAAGGAAAAGACAAAAUGUCCUUCAUGAGGUUUCCCAACGCAAUUCCUACCCUUAAAAAAGAAAUCCAUAAUAAAAUAUAGAUUUCACAUAUACCAACUGACAAGAAGAAAAACAUCCAAAUGGGAUCUGAAAUAAAACCUCCAUUAAAAAGGAAGAUGGAGGUCAAUGUUAAAAGCCUUUUUAUCACUCUUUCAAUAUGUUUAUAUUUAGCAACAUUAAAUCAUAGUAUUUUCUGAAUGCUUCCAAAGGUAUUUUUCAUAACAAAGUAUGUCACUUAAAUUCAUCUUCCUCAUUAAGUAAAGUUAUCAAUUACUGUUCACAGUAUAAGGAAAAUACAGAAAUGCUCUACAUAAGACAAGAGAACUUAAGUUAUGCUUUUAGAGGGAAGUGUGAAAUAUUUGAGAACUCAUCAGAAAUUGGUAAGAACUACAGAUCUGAGGACAAGAGGGACAAAUGGGGGAAUGAGAUUUGUAGGAAACUGUAGGGAAUCUGGCUUGGUAGAAAAAGAAAUAAUCAUAUUAAAUAUUAAAAUGAAGCCUCACAAAAUAAAAAAGAAAAAGUCUGAAUAUGAUGUAAAAACAUUAGAUUCUACCACAGAUACAGAAAAAUUGUCCUUGUAUACAAUUUAAUACAAGUUGUGAGGUUAUGAGUCAAUAACUGAAGAACUAUUUUCUAAAUUAUUCAACCACAAUUUCUGUCUCUGAGUAUAGUUUAGCUGGCAUAAAUAUUGCUAUCUGUAGCUUCAUGUAAUUUUUCAAAAAUUGAUAAUUUAAAGCUAUUUAGCUAAAUAUAAUCAAUCAAGAAAUAUUUAAGAGGUUUUAAAAGACUACUUCAUCAAGAAUUCUAAAAUGUGAAAAAGAUUUUUUAAGAAAAAAAGUAUUUUUCAAAAACUAUUGGUACUAACAGUUUGAAUUUUCAGUUUCUUAGAAGUCAAGUUGCCCAUCAGAGACUCCAACGGGCACGAUCUGUUACAUCAGGAGCAAGUUUUUCGCCCAUUUUUAAUGUCAUCUAUGACCACAGAUGAGAAAUAAAAAAGUAUUGUUAUUUGACAACUAUUCACAGUUUCAUCUCCCACAGUUAAAAAAAAAAAAAAAGAUACAAUCUGCUGAGUCAAAGCUAUUGCAUGUCAUUUGCAUUUAUCAUUAAAAUAACAUUUACUACUAUGUUCUCAAAGCCAAAUUACUCAACGAAUUGCUGAAUGUUUCCAAAGAAAUGCUUUAAUUAGUUCUUUAUGCAAAUAUCAGUCUGCAUAUCUACUAUUUCUAUUCAGAAUUUCUAUUCAGAAUUUAGCAAAUCUGUGCAAAAUACUGUUUGCGUUUAUAACUUAAACAGAAAAGUGACUUUAAAAAUUACAUGUAAUAUGCCAUAAUUUAUACAGAUAAUACUAUCAUAUGUUUUUCACUUGUUAAGGUUCCCCUCCAUAUUGCAUAUAGUUCGUUUUUCCAGAUUCUAAUUCCAACCUUUCUUAGAACCAAUUACUAAAUUACUGUUUAUUUAUUGUAUUGUAUUUCUACGGCCAGUGACAAUGAGUAAGAAACCAAUGUUCUCAUGUUCACAUACUAAUUCUUUAGGAAAAUUUAUGAUGAUAAACAUCAUCAUUAUCCGAAUCACUUAUCUAAUUAUUAUCAGUUGCUGAUCUGAAAUCCUAGUGGCCUAAUGUGCUUCAAAUUUCAGAAAUUUCCUUUUUUUAGAAAAGUAAUCAAAUAUAUUUUACACAAAACCCUCGGUAAGAAGCCGUGUCAUUAAAAACAAUAAUAUAUCUGUAGAGAGAUGCAUGGAAAUUCCCACUAUGUGGCAAACGUGUGGGAUAUUUAUAGACAGAGCAAAAUAUAUACAAUCUCAUGUCUGUUCGAAUAGAUUUACCACUAAAUAUAUUUGGGGCAAACUUACAAAAUAACUUGGUUUGAAUUUUCAGAGCUUUUAAGAAUCAGAAAUCCAACCUAUAUAUUUCAAGUUUUAAUACCUAAGAUUGCUCAUGAGACUAAAUUCUGUAAUUAAGCAAAUGCAUAACUGAGUAUUAUAAGAAAUCCACAAAUAUAUACCUAAGUGUUGAGUCCUAUACCUUAUGCUUUCCCAAUGACUGCAUCCAAAAAAAGGAAAAAUAUCUGAAGGGGAUAAUUAACAUUUCCCAUCAAACUUCGAUCAGGAUGAAUAUAUCUUUACAACGGAAAUAACAAAAAGCUGUCUAGUGACCCUUUACUCAGGGUACCAGUACAUCUUUCUUCUUUAGCAUAUAAGUAAAUUUAAACUCUACCAUAUUUCCCAGAUUUAGAUGAGCCAGACCUGUACAAGCAAAUGCACACUGCUACGAAUUGCCCAUUUUACAUUUUCAUUUGACUCAAGUCCAAUAGACCAACAUAUUCAUUCUUUUGGACAGAAGAGCAAAACAGAACUCAAUUGAAAAAAGAAACUCAAAAUGGACAGACUUUUGAUUUCACUCUCUAAAGGCCAAGCAAAGAAUUCAGUUUUGGAAAUUUGGAAAAAAAUGUACAUAUGAUCUUGAUUUCACAGAGUGUUAGGUUGGAACAGAAGUCGGAAAUCACCCAGUUGCACAUCCCUUAUUUUACAGAAGAACAAACAUAAAUUUAAAGAGACUCAUUCAAUUCCAUGUGGAACCAGAAGCAGAGCCAGGUUUUCUGACAUUUUCCUCCAAGUCACUCAGCCUCGUGAUUUUUCACACUGGGCUUUUUUGCUAUGGCAAGAAACUUCUGAUUACUUUGUGACAAGAUCUCAUCUUUCUUGCUCAAAGUAUUCCUGAACAUACAGUCAACAGUGUAAAGUUUCUGCCCCAUGUGAGCCAAACUUCACUGGAUAGCCUGCCCUUGCACACUACUUCCUUGUCUUCUGAUCGAUAUGCUUAAGUGUAUACAGUAAUUUCUUCAUCUACUAACCCUCCCCUCUGAUAAUUAUUAACAAAAGAACUUCUUAUUCAAAAAGUAUAAAAUUAUUUUCAAAGGAAAUCACUUAAAAUAUAACAAAAAUACCUCAAUAAUUUUUGGUUUUCAAAUUCCAUCAACUAAGGUACUGGUUCAUAUUAGUACAUAUAUUCAGUUGCAUCAUAUCAGCUCUUUUUAAGAACUGAGAAUUGGUUUGUGAUAUGGUUUGGCUGUGUCCCCAUCCAAAUCUCAUCUUGAAUUGCAGUCCCCAUUAUCCACAUGUGUCACGAGAGGGACCUGGUGAGAGGUAAUUUAAUCAUGGAGGCAGUUUACUGCCUCCAUGCUGCUGUUCUCGUAAUAGUGAGUGAGUUCUUGAGACAGCUGAAGGUUUUAUAAAGGAAUUUCCCCCUUUUGCUCAGAACUUUUCUGCUGUCAUGUGAAGAUGGACAUGGUUGCCUCCCCUUCUGCCGUAAUUGUAAGUUUCCUGAGGCCUUCCCAGGCCUGUGGAACUGUGAGUCAAUUAAACUGUUUUCCUUUAUAAAUCACUCAGUUUUGGAUAUUUCUUCAUGAGAACAGACUAAUACAGUUUGACAUUUAUAAAAUUAUAUAAAAUAACAAAAAAAUUUGGUAAAACCUAGACAAAACCAAAUCCUGUUAAAAUUCUCCUACAAUCUAAACUGAGAAGUCUAAAUAAUGAGUUUUUAAAAUCGACUUCAAUUUUAAAAGAGGAACUCUCUGAGGUGCUUGCCCUAAUUAGUAGUGCACAAGCAAAAACACUUUCUAAUAUCUUAAUGUAUUUCUGUAUGUGCUCACUUUAAGAAAGCACUUAAAAUGUUUAUUUGGCAGUGUUUGCAUUCUCUAAUGCAUAUAGCUCCCUUCUUUUCUCAUUCUGUAUUGUAAAAGAAAUCUUGUUCAGCUAACUGACAUUUAAUAAAGGAUAGAAAAUGUUUCAAGGCCAAGCUUCAUAGUCCUAAUGUACACUUUUUUUUUCCUUUUAAAACCAAUAAGUAUUUUUAUGUUUAAAGUCUGCAAGAUGACAAGAAGGAUACUGAAGUUGUCAUCAGUGUCAAGAAGGAAUCCAAAUUUAUCAGUAAGGAAGAGAAGGAAAAACAUUUGAGACAGCUAAUCUUGAAGAUAUGGAUGGAAGAUGCCUGCAGGAGAUAUUCACACCUAACUGAAAAGAAAUAACUCAGAAAGAAUAAGCUUUCUGAACUACAAGAAAAAAAUAUUUACUCCCAGAACACUCAUAGACUUAUUACAAAAUGGACCAUCUAACUGUUCCUUUUUUUUUUUUAUUACAGGCAAGAAUAUUAAGGCCCAGAAGGGUCUAUUAAUUUGUCCUAGUUACACAACAUUUGGUCAAGAACUUAGAUCUCCUUUGGUCCAGAAGCCUUUCAUUACAUUUUAUCAUUUCAACAAUUGUUUAAUCUGUACAGUAUAUUUAAUAACUCAUCUGAAAUCAAUAUAAAACAAUUAUGCAAUUAUUAAAGAGCCGAGUGUGAAGAAAAAGUUUUUCCCCUUGUAUAUUGUUUCCUUAGCAAAGCAACUUUUGUGUAAGAGGCAGGUCUAACUCCAUUUGGCAUUACUUUUGCAAAUUGAUUAGUUAUCCAGAGUUCCUAUAAAAAUGAGAUGGCCCUGUUGAAAAUUAUUUUUACUUAGUUGAUAGUUACCAAAGCAAUAUGGGAGCAAAAAUUUAUCUAAAUUUAUUUUGUCAGGUGAAAGAGAUUUUCACUUUAGAAGGGGAGCAAUUCUCAACAACUACAUAUUCAUAUGUGUUCCAUAAGACCAGACCACAAAAUUGUCACAUAUUUAAGAAAAUUUAUAAGAAAAAUGCUUAACUCUCAGUCAGUUCCAAUAAAAAUGAGCUAAUAAGUUGUCUUUUCCUACAUUAAUACACAUCUUUGAUUUGUCUCAUCACAUUUUUAAGUAUUUUUCAACGUUACACAUGUUACCUCCAAUAUAAAAUAAGGAAAAUUUAGUCUAAAAUCUUUAAUAUACAUCAUUUUAAGAGUGACAUCAAAAUUAUACUUUAUAAUUACGCAACAUUUUAAAUUUUGAUAGAAAAGUUAUCAACUCAAAAAUAACUAACUUCCUUGAUAUGAAAAUACUUUAAAUAUUAAAAUAUUAGUUUUGCUUUCUCUUUGGGAAGUAUUUCUAAUAUCAGGUAGUCUCAGGAAAGGAAAGAAAACAAAUUCUGGGAGGGCAGUAGCUGACUUAUUUGGAUGCCAAAAAAAAGUCUGUGUAGUUCAAGAGCUGAGGAAGCUAUGGGACCUUAAUUUAAAAGUGUGCUUCCUAGGAAAACAGGACCCAACAUAACAACAGAUUGAUAGAUAAACUGCAAAUUAGUCAUUAAGUUGCACUCAGAAUAUCAUAGAGAAAAAAGAAAUGAAAAUGAUGUCAAUUUUUAAAAAUUGUAUAAAAAUAAAUCAAAAUGCUGUUAAAACUCUCAAAACUCAAAACGUUAAGAUCAACAGAAUCACUUUUUUGAGCUAAUUCACAGAUAAAUUCGAGUCAGUCUAAUUGCAAUAGCAUCAAUUCAUCACUUAUGCCCAACUCUAAAAUUAUAAUAAAGAAGCUUCCACAAUGGAUGUUGUCAAUUAAUAAAAGGAGCAUGGUAAUGACUUAGAAAUAUUCAUUAUAAUUCACAGGAAAUACUUAAGCCAUCAUUUACUUCUACCUAGAAAAAUGACACAGAAGUAAUCAAUGCUGGCAGUGCCAAGGUCUUGCCAGUGCCAAGACCUUCCUUCUCAAACAUGCAGCAUCCUAACUCAUUCUAGCAGUCACAAACAUGACUCCAGGGAAGCCAUUCAAAGUGCUGGUCACAUUAUGACUAAAAAUACUACAAAAGGCAACUUUUAAAAGCACACAUGAGAGGUUUUAUAAAUCUGACAAAUAGGAAGCCCUUGAGAGAAAUGACAUUCACAGAGUGAAAAGAAGUGAUAAGAAGCUGAAUUCAAAAAUUAACUCUCACCAGUCAUUAGUAGUUGGUACUCACACAUUUAUUCAACCAAUUAUGGAGUAAAUGAUUAUUGAAGAUCCACUCUGUGCCAACACAGCUGGAAAGUCAAAAUAGACAGGGGCCCUGAAUUCAGGAAGUUUCUAGUCCGGCAAGGGAAAACACAAUUAAAGUAUCACCCAAAUAAAUGAAAAUUACCGUUCUAAUUUUCAACCCUGAAGGAGGAUUAUGUCAUAUAUUGUGGCAUCAAAUAAGGGCCUAUAAGUUGCCAAAGGGUACCAGGAAAGUUUCCUGCAGGAUGUGAUGAUAGGACAAAAAUAGGUUGAUGAGCAAAAAAAAAAAAAA